rnacentral:misc_RNA from 1 species
GAUGAAGAACGCAGUGAAAUGCGAUACUUGGUGUGAAUUGCAGAAUCCCGUGAACCAUCGAGUCUUUGAACGCAAGUUGCGCCCGAAGCCAUCAGGUUGAGGGCACGUCUGCCUGGGCGUCACAUAUCGUUGCCCAAUGCCUAUUGCAGUGCAAUAGGAAUUUCUAGGGCGAAUGAUGGCUUCCCGUGAGCGUUGUUGCCUCGCGGUUGGUUGAAAAUCGAGUCCUUGGUAGGGUGUGCCAUGGUAGAUGGUGGUCGAGUUAGAACGAUACCGAUCAUGUGCAUGCUCCCCAAAAUAUGGCCACUAUGACCCACACGCGUCUUUUGACGCUCAUGACGAGACCUCAGGUCAGGCGGGGCUACCCGCUGAAUUUAAGCAUAUCAAUAAGCGGAGGA